GAAAUGACAUGCAUCCAUGAAUAUUUUAUAUUGUUUCUCAAAGAAACUGAUUUGUAUGCCGACGGUACCAAUGGGGAUGCAGAACACGAUGUAUGAAGUAGUUGGCGUUCAGGCCGCGGGCAGCGCUUCAGUCGGCGAUUCACCAGGCUGCCGAAGCCGACGCAUUCGGCCAGUCGCGUCUUGUCAGCCAUAGCUUGAAGUUGUGUGAGUCAGUGUUUACUUCCAGUGUUGUUUUCGUAACUGAGCACGUGCAAUUUGUUUCUGGAAAGUAAAGGACCACUGGAAUAACACGAUUGGUCUACCGCCU